GUUUCAAUGGCCUUGCUAGAGAACAAGUUCAGCAACUAUUCGCUAGAAUACUUAAAGGAUCUACCCAAUAAGCUUCUUGUGUAACAAGGUGAUGCUGCUUACUGUCACUUGUAACAGUCGAAGUGUUUUUGUGUGUGUGUGAGUGUGUGCGCUUGUAUGCAUGUGCAUCUAACAUGCAUUACAGCAUGGCUUUUACAUAAUACAAUAUUUACCAUCAUUUUAUUGGCAAACUCAGAAAAGCCGUCUUACAAUUCCUAGUAUUUCUUACAGAUUAUGAUGAAGUGACAGCAAUCGACAAUCUUUCCUGGAACACCAUUCUGAAGUGUUCCAACUCUUUAGCAUGCUCUGU
rnacentral:misc_RNA from 1 species